GCCGCUAACACAGUAGGAAAGUUAGUUGGGUAGGUAGUUCAUGCUAGCGCUCCUUUCGGCGGUGGUGUGAAAAGGGACAUCAGCAGCAGCUGCUUCAGGUGCAGCAUGUUCUUGGGUUGGUCCACUCCUCUAGAUUGGCUGGACAUCCAGGCACAUCGGCCAGUAGGGCAGCAGUGGAAGAGAUAAUCUGAGCCUGUGGACAGUGUGGCAUUAGUCUAAAGGUGACGGCACACUGGGAGAUUUUGUCAACUACAAUAAAUCUUCGCUACUUUGCUUAUGCCAUCCCGCUGGCUAUUCACAUUCUUGCCAAUGGGAAGGCAUUUUGUGGGGAGAUUAGUCGCACGCAGUAGUGCCGUGUGCCACCACCAGGGCUGCCAUCGGGGGGGACAGUUGUCCGGGCAAGGCUGUGCUGCACUUACUUCAAGUAGCCGGGCCCCCUCCACACAUCAGAUUGCACUGCUUGCCAUUUUCUUUAUGCUCCUCUAUUCUGCACAAUCAAGAACUUCGCCAUUGGAUAACGCAAGUAGAACCUGCCUCAUUGUCCGAUCACAUCACAGCUAUGUUGGGUCUUCAGGAGGAACAGGAAAAGAACAUGCAGUGUGCCUGGAGCCAGCCUGCAAGUUUACUGAGAUAUCCAGGAUAAAUAAACGAUUCUGCAAACAUCAA